GGGGCUAUAACAGCUCUCUGAGGUACCCCACACCACAGGACUGGGACCAUCGCUGUGAGAGUCUGGGGCUAUAACAGCUCUCUGAGGUACCCCACACCACAGGACUGGGACCAUCGCUGUGAGAGUCUGGGGCUAUAACAGCUCUCUGAGGUACCCCACACCACAGGACUGGGACCAUCGCUGUGAGAGUCUGGGGCUAUAACAGCUCUCUGAGGUACCCCACACCACAGGACUGGGACCAUCGCUGUGAGAGUCUGGGGCUAUAACAGCUCUCUGAGGUACCCCACACCACAGGACUGGGACCAUCGCUGUGAGAGUCUGGGGCUAUAACAGCUCUCUGAGGUACCCCACACCACAGGACUGGGACCAUCGCUGUGAGAGUCUGGGGCUAUAACAGCUCUCUGAGGUACCCCACACCACAGGACUGGGACCAUCGCUGUGAGAGUCUGGGGCUAUAACAGCUCUCUGAGGUACCCCACACCACAGGACUGGGACCAUCGCUGUGAGAGUCUGGGGCUAUAACAGCUCUUUGUGGUACCCCACACCACAGGACUGGGACCAUCGCUGUGAGAGUCUGGGGCUAUAACAGCUCUUUGUGGUACCCCACACCACAGGACUGGGACCAUCGCUGUGAGAGUCUGGGGCUAUAACAGCUAUCUGAGGUACCCCACAACACAGGACUGGGACCAUCGCUGUGGUAGUCUGGGGCUAUAACAGCUCUCUGAGGUACCCCACACCACAGGACUGG